rnacentral:rRNA from 1 species
CCCCGUUGGGGGCGUGCUCUAAUGAUGCAAGUCGAACGAGUUCUGAUUAUUGAAAGGUGCUUGCAUCUUGAUUUAAUUUUGAACGAGUGGCGGACGGGUGAGUAACACGUGGGUAACCUGCCCUUAAGUGGGGGAUAACAUUUGGAAACAGAUGCUAAUACCGCAUAAAUCCAAGAACCGCAUGGUUCUUGGCUGAAAGAUGGCGUAAGCUAUCGCUUUUGGAUGGACCCGCGGCGUAUUAGCUAGUUGGUGAGGUAACGGCUCACCAAGGCAAUGAUACGUAGCCGAACUGAGAGGUUGAUCGGCCACAUUGGGACUGAGACACGGCCCAAACUCCUACGGGAGGCAGCAGUAGGGAAUCUUCCACAAUGGACGCAAGUCUGAUGGAGCAACGCCGCGUGAGUGAAGAAGGCUUUCGGGUCGUAAAACUCUGUUGUUGGAGAAGAAUGGUCGGCAGAGUAACUGUUGUCGGCGUGACGGUAUCCAACCAGAAAGCCACGGCUAACUACGUGCCAGCAGCCGCGGUAAUACGUAGGUGGCAAGCGUUAUCCGGAUUUAUUGGGCGUAAAGCGAGCGCAGGCGGUUUUUUAAGUCUGAUGUGAAAGCCCUCGGCUUAACCGAGGAAGUGCAUCGGAAACUGGGAAACUUGAGUGCAGAAGAGGACAGUGGAACUCCAUGUGUAGCGGUGAAAUGCGUAGAUAUAUGGAAGAACACCAGUGGCGAAGGCGGCUGUCUGGUCUGUAACUGACGCUGAGGCUCGAAAGCAUGGGUAGCGAACAGGAUUAGAUACCCUGGUAGUCCAUGCCGUAAACGAUGAAUGCUAGGUGUUGGAGGGUUUCCGCCCUUCAGUGCCGCAGCUAACGCAUUAAGCAUUCCGCCUGGGGAGUACGACCGCAAGGUUGAAACUCAAAGGAAUUGACGGGGGCCCGCACAAGCGGUGGAGCAUGUGGUUUAAUUCGAAGCAACGCGAAGAACCUUACCAGGUCUUGACAUCUUUUGAUCACCUGAGAGAUCAGGUUUCCCCUUCGGGGGCAAAAUGACAGGUGGUGCAUGGUUGUCGUCAGCUCGUGUCGUGAGAUGUUGGGUUAAGUCCCGCAACGAGCGCAACCCUUAUGACUAGUUGCCAGCAUUUAGUUGGGCACUCUAGUAAGACUGCCGGUGACAAACCGGAGGAAGGUGGGGAUGACGUCAAAUCAUCAUGCCCCUUAUGACCUGGGCUACACACGUGCUACAAUGGAUGGUACAACGAGUUGCGAGACCGCGAGGUCAAGCUAAUCUCUUAAAGCCAUUCUCAGUUCGGACUGUAGGCUGCAACUCGCCUACACGAAGUCGGAAUCGCUAGUAAUCGCGGAUCAGCACGCCGCGGUGAAUACGUUCCCGGGCCUUGUACACACCGCCCGUCACACCAUGAGAGUUUGUAACACCCGAAGCCGGUGGCGUAACCCUUUUAGGGAGCGAGCCGUCUAAGGGGGGGCAAAGGAGUG